rnacentral:rRNA from 1 species
AUCGAUUAGAGUUUGAUCAUGGCUCAGGACGAACGCUGGCGGCGUGCCUAAUACAUGCAAGUCGAACGCUUCUUUCCUCCCGAGUGCUUGCACUCAAUUGGAAAGAGGAGUGGCGGACGGGUGAGUAACACGUGGGUAACCUACCCAUCAGAGGGGGAUAACACUUGGAAACAGGUGCUAAUACCGCAUAACAGUUUAUGCCGCAUGGCAUAAGAGUGAAAGGCGCUUUCGGGUGUCGCUGAUGGAUGGACCCGCGGUGCAUUAGCUAGUUGGUGAGGUAACGGCUCACCAAGGCCACGAUGCAUAGCCGACCUGAGAGGGUGAUCGGCCACACUGGGGCUGAGACACGGCCCAGACUCCUACGGGAGGCAGCAGUAGGGAAUCUUCGGCAAUGGACGAAAGUCUGACCGAGCAACGCCGCGUGAGUGAAGAAGGUUUUCGGAUCGUAAAACUCUGUUGUUAGAGAAGAACAAGGACGUUAGUAACUGAACGUCCCCUGACGGUAUCUAACCAGAAAGCCACGGCUAACUACGUGCCAGCAGCCGCGGUAAUACGUAGGUGGCAAGCGUUGUCCGGAUUUAUUGGGCGUAAAGCGAGCGCAGGCGGUUUCUUAAGUCUGAUGUGAAAGCCCCCGGCUCAACCGGGGAGGGUCAUUGGAAACUGGGAGACUUGAGUGCAGAAGAGGAGAGUGGAAUUCCAUGUGUAGCGGUGAAAUGCGUAGAUAUAUGGAGGAACACCAGUGGCGAAGGCGGCUCUCUGGUCUGUAACUGACGCUGAGGCUCGAAAGCGUGGGGAGCAAACAGGAUUAGAUACCCUGGUAGUCCACGCCGUAAACGAUGAGUGCUAAGUGUUGGAGGGUUUCCGCCCUUCAGUGCUGCAGCAAACGCAUUAAGCACUCCGCCUGGGGGGUACGACCGCAAGGUUGAAACUCAAAGGAAUUGACGGGGGCCCGCACAAGCGGUGGAGCAUGUGGUUUAAUUCGAAGCAACGCGAAGAACCUUACCAGGCCUUGACAUCCUUUGACCACUCUAGAGAUAGAGCUUUCCCUUCGGGGACAAAGUGACAGGUGGUGCAUGGUUGUCGUCAGCUCGUGUCGUGAGAUGUUGGGUUAAGUCCCGCAACGAGCGCAACCCUUAUUGUUAGUUGCCAUCAUUUAGUUGGGCACUCUAGCGAGACUGCCGGUGACAAACCGGAGGAAGGUGGGGAUGACGUCAAAUCAUCAUGCCCCUUAUGACCUGGGCUACACACGUGCUACAAUGGGAAGUACAACGAGUCGCUAGACCGCGAGGUCAUGCAAAUCUCUUAAAGCUUCUCUCAGUUCGGAUUGCAGGCUGCAACUCGCCUGCAUGAAGCCGGAAUCGCUAGUAAUCGCGGAUCAGCACGCCGCGGUGAAUACGUUCCCGGGCCUUGUAGACACCG